AGUAUUGUUGGUGUCAGUUGACUGUAGGGCCUAGGUAUUGUUGGUGUCAGUUGACUGUAGGGCCUAGGUAUUGUUGGUGUCAGUUGACUGUAGGGCCUAGGUAUUGUUGGUGUCAGUUGACUGUGGGGCCUAGGUAUUGAUGGUGUCAGUUGACUGUAGGGCCUAGGUAUUGUUGGUGUCAGUUGACUGUGUGUUUGUCAUGUGUUUUGUGCCUGCAAUCUCUCAAAUGUCUUACAUUGUUCUUUGGGAAAUUAACAAAAAGAAAAAUCUCUUUUAUACUUUGAAUAAUGCAUUAUUUCUCUGUCCAUCUUAUGAAUAACGGUUUUGUGGGAAUGUUCAUGUUGCCUUGCAAUAAACAACUGUUUGAACCUUGUA